GGGGUGGGGCCGGAAGCCGAAGUGCCGCAGGGAGUUAGCGGCGUCUCGGUUGCCAUGGAGACCAGGAGCUCCAAAACGCGGAGGUCUUUAGCGUCCCGGACCAACGAGUGCCAGGGCACAAUGUGGGCGCCAACUUCGCCACCAGCCGGGUCCAGCAGCCCCAGCCAGCCCACCUGGAAGUCCUCCUUGUAUUCCUCCCUCGCCUACUCUGAGGCCUUCCACUACAGCUUCGCAGCCCGGCCCCGCCGCCUCACGCAGCUUGCGCUGGCGCAGCGUCCCGAGCCUCAGCGGCUUCGUCCGCGCCCCUCCUCGCUGCGCACCCAAGAUAUCUCGCACUUGCUCACCGGCGUCUUCCGCAACUUGUACUCGGCCGAGGUCAUCGGCGACGAAGUGAGCGCAAGCUUGAUCAAGGCCCGCGGCAGCGAGAAUGAGCGCCACGAGGAGUUCGUGGACCAGCUGCAGCAGAUUCGGGAGCUCUAUAAGCAGCGGCUGGAUGAGUUUGAAAUGUUGGAGAGAUGUAUCACUCAGGCCCAAGCACGGGCUAUUGCGGAAAACGAGCGGGUCAUGAGCCAGGCUGGAGUACAGGACCUCGAGAGCCUUGUCAGGUUGCCUCCAGUGAAGAGUGUCUUCAGAUGGUGUAUAGACAGCGAGUUGCUACGGAAACAUCAUUUGAUCUCCCCAGAAGAUUACUACACCGAUACAGUGCCGUUUCACUCUGCACCUAAAGGAGUGCCCACCUCCUCACCUUGUUGCAGUGAUUCAGUUUGUUUCCUUGAUGCUGUAGGCAUCUCCCUACCUGGAUGUUCAAAACUGACAUUUAGCUGUGAGAAGCGUUCCGUCCAGAAGAAAGAGCUGAACAAGAAGCUUGAAGAUUCAUGCAGGAAGAAGCUUGCUAUGUUCGAAGAUGAGUUAGACCACACUGUGGACAGCCUGACAUGGAAUUUAACUCCUAAGGCCAAAGAAAGGACCAGAGAACCUCUCAAGAAAGCAAGUCAACCAAGGAAUAAAAACUGGAUGAACCACUUACGUGUGCCACAGAGAGAGCUAGACAGACUUCUGCUUGCCAGAAUGGAGAGUCAGAACCACUUCCUAAAAAAUCCCCGUUUUUUUCCUCCUAACACUCCAUAUGGAGGCAAGUCUCUUGUUUUUCCUCCAAAGAAGCCAGCACCGAUAGGAGAAUUCCAGAGUACGGAGCCAGAACAGAGUUGUGCUGAUACUCCAGUGUUUCUAGCUAAGCCACCAAUUGGGUUUUUCACAGAUUAUGAAAUUGGUCCAGUUUAUGAGAUGGUAAUUGCACUGCAGAACACCACCACGACCAGCCGCUACCUGCGAGUCCUCCCGCCUUCCACGCCAUACUUCGCUCUGGGACUGGGGAUGUUCCCAGGAAAAGGUGGAAUGGUGGCUCCUGGAAUGACCUGCCAGUACGUUGUCCAGUUUUUUCCCGACUGCCUUGGGGAUUUUGAUGAUUUUAUUUUAGUGGAGACCCAGUCAGCCCACACACUUCUGAUCCCCCUGCAGGCCCGGAGGCCGCCCCCUGUGCUGACAUUGUCACCGGUGUUGGACUGUGGUUACUGCCUCAUUGGGGGAGUCAAGAUGACCAGAUUCAUCUGCAAAAAUGUGGGUUUCAGUGUUGGCAGGUUCUGCAUUAUGCCCAAAACAAGCUGGCCACCACUAAGUUUCAAGGCCAUUGCAACCGUCGGCUUUGUUGAACAACCUCCUUUUGGAAUCCUGCCUUCGGUGUUUGAGCUGGCCCCGGGACAUGCUAUAUUAGUGGAGGUCUUGUUUUCCCCAAAGAGCCUAGGAAAGGCAGAGCAGACCUUCAUCAUCAUGUGCGACAACUGCCAGAUAAAGGAGCUGGUGACCAUAGGAAUUGGGCAGCUGAUUGCUUUGGAUCUGAUCUAUAUUUCUGGUGAAAAAAGCCAACCAGACCCUGGAGAGCUCACAGACUUAACAGCCCAGCACUUCAUACGAUUUGAGCCUGAAAACCUUCGGUCCACGGCUAGGAAGCAGCUGAUUAUUAGAAAUGCUACGCACGUGGAGCUGGCCUUCUACUGGCAGAUCAUGAAGCCCAACCUGCAGCCCCUCAUGCCUGGAGAAACCUUCAGCAUGGACAGCAUCAAGUGCUACCCCGACAAGGAGACUGCCUUCUCCAUCAUGCCCAGAAAGGGGGUUCUAAGCCCCCACACAGACCACGAGUUCAUCCUGAGCUUUUCUCCUCAUGAGCUGAGGGAUUUUCACAGUGUGCUCCAGAUGGUGCUAGAGGAAGUCCCAGAGCCUGUAAGUUCAGAAGCGGAGAGCCUGGGGCACUCCUCCUACUCUGUGGAUGAUGUGAUUGUCCUGGAAAUCGAGGUGAAAGGCUCAGUAGAACCUUUCCAGGUUCUCUUAGAGCCAUAUGCCCUCAUCAUCCCAGGGGAGAACUACAUUGGGAUAAAUGUGAAGAAGGCUUUUAAGAUGUGGAACAACAGCAAGUCACCCAUUAGAUACCUGUGGGGGAAGAUCAGCGACUGCCACAUCAUUGAAGUGGAGCCCGGCACAGGGGUCAUAGAGCCCAGUGAGGUCGGGGAUUUUGAGUUGAACUUUACUGGGGGUGUCCCUGGCCCCACAAGCCAGGACCUGCUGUGUGAAAUCGAAGACUCACCCUCGCCAGUGGUGUUACACAUUGAGGCUGUCUUUAAGGGGCCUGCCCUCAUCAUCAACGUCUCAGCCCUUCAGUUUGGUCUGCUCCGCCUGGGGCAGAAAGCCACAAACUCCAUCCAGAUCCGGAACGUCAGCCAGCUCCCAGCCACAUGGCGCAUGAAGGAGAGCCCAGUCUGCCUCCAGGAAAGGCCUGAGGAUUGGGCGAUCUGGAACAAGACAAAGUCACACAAAUCACCAGCUACUCGCAAAGUGCCCGCAGUGUCUCCCUUCGACAUUGAGCCUUCGAGUGGCCAGCUUCACUCUCUGGGGGAGUGCAGGGUGGACAUCACCUUGGAGGCCCUGCACUGCCAGCAUCUGGAGACCGUCCUGGAGCUGGAGGUGGAAAAUGGGGCCUGGAGCUACCUUCCUGUGUAUGCUGAGGUACAGAAGCCCCAUGUGUACCUACAGAGCAGCCAGGUGGAGGUUAGAAAUCUCUACCUGGGUGUGCCCGCGAAGACAACCAUCACACUUAUCAAUGGCACGCUCCUGCCUACCCAGUUCCACUGGGGCAAGCUCCUCGGGCACCAAGCAGAUUUCUGCAUGGUGACAGUCUCCCCCAAACAUGGCCUGCUGGGCCCAAGCGAGGAGUGCCAGCUCAAGUUGGAGUUGACUGCUCAUACCCAGGAAGAGCUGACCCAUCUGGCCCUCCCUUGUCAUGUGUCAGGCAUGAAGAAGCCACUGGUUCUAGGCAUUUCUGGGAAGCCGCAGGCACUGCAAGUGGCCAUCACCAUCUCUGAGGAGAGUUCUGAUUGCAGUGUUUUCAGCACAGAGCAGUGGCCAGGCCACCCAAAGGAGCUCCGCCUGGACUUUGGCUCAGCGGUGCCACUGAGGACCCGUGUGACUCGCCAGCUCAUUCUCACCAAUCGCUCCCCAAUACGGACCCCUUUCUCCCUCAAGUUUGAGUACUUCGGGAGCCCCCAAAACAGCCUGAGCAAAAAGACCAGCCUUCCCGACAUGCCUCCUGUCCUGCUAAAGACAGUGCGGAUGCAAGAGCACCUGGCCAAGCGAGAGCAGCUGGAUUUUAUGGAGAGCAUGCUAUCCCACGGGAAAGGAGCUGCUUUCUUCCCUCACUUUUCCCAGGGCAUGCUGGGGCCCUACCAGCAGCUGUGCAUUGACAUCACAGGCUGUGCCAACAUGUGGGGCGAGUACUGGGACAACCUCAUCUGCACGGUGGGAGACCUGCUGCCGGAAGUCAUCCCAGUGCACAUGGCAGCAGUGGGCUGCCCCAUCAGCUCCCUGAGGACCACCUCCUACACUACUGACCAGGCCCAGAAGGAACCAGCCAUCAGGUUCGGCACCCAGGUCUCCGGAGGAGACACAGUUACCCGAACCCUUCGCCUGAAUAACUCCAGCCCCUGUGACAUCCGCCUGGAUUGGGAGACCUAUGUUCCAGAAGACAAGGAAGACCGGCUGGUGGAGCUGCUGGUGUUUUACGGACCACCUUUCCCGCUGCGGGACCAAGCCGGGAAUGAGCUUGUGUGCCCUGAUACCCCUGAGGGUGGCUGCCUCCUCUGGUCCCCAAGCCCCUCCAGUUCAUCGGAAUUCAGCCAUGAAACUGACUCAUCAGUUGAGGGCAGCUCCAGUGCCAGCAAUAGGGUGGCACAGAAGCUCAUCUCAGUCAUCCUGCAGGCACAUGAGGGGGUGCCCUCCGGCCACCUGUACUGUAUCAGCCCCAAGCAGGUGGUGGUCCCUGCUGGGGGCAGCAGCACCAUCUACAUCUCCUUCACCCCUAUGGUGCUCAGCCCUGAGAUCCUGCACAAGGUGGAGUGUACUGGCUACGCCCUGGGUUUCAUGAGCUUGGACAGCAAGUAGGUGGAAAGGGAGAUUCCAGGGAAGAGGCAUCGCCUGCAGGACUUUGCGGUGGGACCCCUGAAACUGGACCUGCAUAGCUACGUGAGGCCUGCACAGCUAAGUGUGGAGCUGGACUACGGCGGCAGUAUGGAAUUCCAGUGCCAGGCCAGUGACCUCAUUCCCGAGCAGCCCUGCUCUGGGGUGCUGAGUGAGCUGGUGACCACCCACCACCUGAAGCUGACCAACACUACAGAGAUCCCACACUACUUCCGGCUUAUGGUCUCCAGGCCCUUCUCUGUUUCUCAAGAUGGGGUGAGCCGGGACCACAGAGCUCCUGGCCCUGGCCAGAAGCAGGAGUGUGAGGAGGAGACAGCCUCGGCGGACAAGCAGCUGGUGCUCCGAGCACAGGAGAACAUGCUGGUCAGUGGGGGAGUCUGCAGCCCUUGCAGCGAUGGCACACCCUCGCAUGUGUACAGACAGCACCCCUGCACGCCACCCUCAUGUGCUUGUACCCAGACGCAAACUGCAUGCCUGACCCUGCCAUACCCUGCAUGAACACUCGGGGGUGCACUCCCACCAGAAACACCACAUUCAGCACCUCUGCACAAGUGGCUGACAUGGGCAUGGCCACACCAGACGUUGUGUUCACAUACAUGCGUGCACGUGUUCCAUAAAUGUCCCCAGACUUCCCUUUCCCUAUUAGUCCCCACUGCUGAGAUGCUGGCAGAGGCUGAUGCAUUCCUGUGAGCACCUCCCCUUCCCACACAGACUCCGUCCUCCUGUGCAAGCUCAGGGUUUGUGUCCCAGCUCAGGUGAGCCCAUGGGGUUGCCGUAAUUGUAAGACACUCCAGGUUCUAACGUAAAUUUUCCUCUUCUGACUUAUUCUCAGUGACAAUUGGAUCCUGGAUUUUCAGAGUUGGUUAGGUAGGGGAAGGUCUUGGGAAUGUCAGAACCUCAGUGGAAACCAUCAACUUCCUCUGGUCUCUGAGGCAACUGGAAUGAGGCUGAGUGUGCGCACACCCAUAUCUGCACAGUGGGCUUCCAGGGUGUGCAGAGGCAGGCUGAGGGGAGACAGCCCCGCCCUGUCUCCUACUUCCCCUCCUGCUUCAGAGGCCCUCUUUCUUCUUCUUGGAGGGCUUCCCUUUAUGCUGUGCUCCCUUGAGCUCUGCCAGGUCGUAGCCUCACUCUGCACAUUUCUGGGUUGUCUCAUCCAUUUCCAGAGCCUCAGUGAACAGCCAUAUUAUUUCUAUCCAAUAUAUACUCCACUGUGUAGCGAGGGCCUGCUGUGUACUAGAUGCUGGUACUCCCCGAGGACCUCAUCAUGGAGGUCAGGGACACACACGGAUCUGCAGAAGACAGAAUGGCUCCCUUGACCCACUUUGCGUUUGCUCCCUUCAACGAGCUAAAUGGAGGGGAAGGCCCAGAGCACAGCCAGAGGUUCCAUUCCACCAGAGCUUCCAAGGAGACACGGCGGUUAGCCACCAGGCAUUUAAAAGUCCUUGGCAGCUCUGGGGAAGCCCAACGGUUCCAGAAAAAGGACAUCACAUAAUUAAUGGUGCUGCAUCUCACCCUCCAUGCGCUAACAAUGCUCAGGUUUCUGGCUCCUGGCCAGAAUUAUCUCCCAGGCUGUAGAGCCAAACUCAAUCUGUCCAAAGUGAACUCCCCAUCCCCUCCCCACCUUGUCCUGCCCCACAUCUGUGCCUCCUUUUUGUGGUGGCAUUUUGUCUCAGCAAAUACCACCCCCAGCCCCCUUGCUCAUGCCCAGAGCUCUGGCACCCCUUGUCCUAGACCCAUCUCUGACCAAGCCACCAAGCCCUGCAGAUGCCCCCUCCUAAAGUUCUCCCAACACUAUUCUCUUUUCUUCAUCCCUACACCCAUAUCUUGGUUUAGGACAGCAGUUUCUAAGCCUGGCAAUAGAUCAGUGGCCUUUUUUUUUUUAGAUUGGGUCUUGCUGUGUCACCUAGGCUGGAGUGCAGUGGCGUGAUCAUGGUUCACUGAAGCCUCGACUGCCUGGGGGGUUCAAGCAAUUCUCCCACCUCGGCCUCCCAAGUAGCUGGGACCACAGGCGCAUGCCACCAUGCCCAGCUAUUAUUUGCAGAGAUAAGGUCUCAUUAUAUUGCCCAGGCUGGUCUUGAACUCCUGGGCUCAAGCGAUCCUCCCAAUUCAGCCUCCCAAAGUGCUGGGAUUACAGAUGUAAGCCACUGCUCCCAGCAAAUUAGUACCCUUGACAAAGCUUGUUAAGGCAGCAGCUCCCAGACCCCACCUCCAGAGAUGUGAAGGUCUGGGUGAGGCGCAAGAAUUUAUAUUAUUAACAAGUGCCUCACAGUUGAUUCUGAGAAGCUUGUACCAAGGACCUGUGCUGGGAGCCAGGAGUCCAAGCUUUAUCCUGUCCAGCCUCAGUUACAGCCUCAGCCCCUGGUCUGGCAUCAUCACACUCGUGUGGUCUGCAGCCCACCUCCCCACCAGGUGAACGUGUCCUUCUCACUCUCCCUGGAGCUGCUCUCCUAUCAGAAGCUCCCGGCCGACCAGACACUGCCUGGGGUGGACAUUCAGCAGAGUGCGAGUGGAGAGAGAGAGAUGGUGUUUACUCAGAACCUGCUCCUGGAGUACACCAACCAGACCACUCAGGUGGUGCCCCUGCGGGCUGUGGUGGCCGUGCCUGAGCUGCAGCUCUCCACCAGCUGGUUGGACUUUGGGACCUGCUUUGUGAGCCAGCAGCGAGUCCGGGAGGUCUACCUGAUGAACCUGAGCGGCUGCCGAAGCUACUGGACUAUGCUGAUGGGCCAGCAGGAGCCAGCCAAGGCCGCUGUGGCCUUCAGGGUCUCCCCAAACAGUGGGCUGCUAGAAGCACGAUCUGCCAAUGCACCCCCAACCUCCAUCGCCUUGCAGGUUUUCUUCACUGCCAGGAGUAGUGAGCUGUACGAGUCCACGAUGGUGGUGGAAGGUGUGCUCGGUGAGAAGUCCUGCACCCUGCGGCUCCGGGGCCGAGGCUCCUAUGAUGAGAGAUACAUGUUGCCUCACCAGCCCUGAGGCUCCGCCCCAGCCCUCAGCCCCAGGCCCCAGCUGGAGAAAAAACAUUGCCCAGGGAUUAGGAGCAGCUCUUCAGCACAAAGACACAGACUUGGGGACCUGGGGACCUCUGGGCAGCUCCUGGAAUGGAAGAACCCCCUUCCACAAUGGUCUCAGCCUAGGCCCUCAUGAUAUGUCCUCAGAGCUAACAUAAAGGACAGGCCACACCACAGCAGAGACCACCACAUUGAGAUCACUACUCAGUGCAUAGCAAAGACCAGUAUGGCAAAAUUAGUCUUGGAAAAAAACCACAGCCACUAAGAUAAAUUCAUGCACUUUUA